AUUGUUCCUAUACAGUGUCAGAUAAAAUUGGAAAGGUACAUAGAAAAUUAGCAUGGCUCCUGCACAAGGAUGACAUACACCAUGCUACUAUCAGAACUUUUUUAU